UGGCCUACGGGAGGCAGCAGUGGGGGAUAUUGCACAAUGGGGGGAACCCUGAUGCAGCGACGCCGCGUGGGUGAAGGAGCGUUUCGGCGCGUAAAGCCCUAUCGGCAGGGAAGAAGAUGACGGUACCUGACCAAGAAGCCCCGGCUAACUACGUGCCAGCAGCCGCGGUAAUACGUAGGGGGCAAGCGUUAUCCGGAUUCACUGGGGGUAAAGGGAGCGUAGACGGCCAUGCAAGCCUGGAGUGAAAGCCCGGGGCCCAACCCCGGGACUGCUCUGGGGACU
rnacentral:rRNA from 1 species